rnacentral:rRNA from 1 species
GUCGAACGCUGGCGGCGUGCUUAACACAUGCAAGUCGAACGAAGUGGCGAACGGGUGAGUAAUGCGUAAUCAACCUGCCCUUCAGAGGGGGACACCAGUUGGAAACGACUGCUAAUACCGCAUACUGAAGGAGGGGUUUGCGUCUGAUUAGCUCGUUGGAGGGGUAACGGCCUACCAAGGCGAUGAUCAGUAGCCGGUCUGAGGGGGUGACCGACCACAUUGGGACUGAGACACGGCCCAGACUCCUACGGGAGGCAGCAGUGGGGAAGCUUCCGCAAUGGACGAAAGUCUGACGGAGCAACGCCGCGGGGGUGAUGACGGCCGUCGGGUUGGAAAGCUCUGUUAAUCGGGACGCGGUACCGGAAUAGAAAGCCACGGCUAACUACGUGCCAGCAGCCGCGGUAAUAC